rnacentral:rRNA from 1 species
UACAGAGGGGGCAAGCGUUGUUCGGAAUUACUGGGCGUAAAGGGCGCGUAGGUGGCCUUCUAAGUUGAACGUGAAAUCCCUGGGCUCAACCCAGGAACUGCGUCCAAGACUGGGAGGCUUGAAUCCGGGAGAGGGAUGCGGAAUUCCAGGUGUAGCGGUGAAAUGCGCAGAUAUCAGGAGGAACACCAAUGGCGAAGGCAGCUCGCUGGAACGGUACUGACGCUGAGGCGCGAAAGCGUGGGGAGCGAACAGG